AAAUCGGUUUUUCUCAGAACCACAACUUUUGAUAGAAAUAUAUCUU
rfam:Agrilus planipennis Contig44271, whole genome shotgun sequence.